rnacentral:rRNA from 1 species
AGCGAACGCUGGCGGCAGGCCUAACACAUGCAAGUCGAACGAAGUCUUCGGACUUAGUGGCGGACGGGUGAGUAACACGUGGGAACGUACCUUUUGGUUCGCAACAACGCAGGGAAACUUGGGCUAAUACCGGAUGAGCCCUUAGGGGCAAAGAUUUAUCGCCGAAAGAGCGGCCCGCGUUAGAUUAGCUAGUUGGUGAGGUAAAGGCUCACCAAGGCUACGAGCUAUAGCGGGUCUGAGAGGAUGAUCAGCCACACUGGGACUGAGACACGGCCCAGACUGCUACGGGAGGCAGCAGUGGGGAAUCUUGCGCAAUGGGCGAAAGCCUGACGCAGCCAUGCCGCGUGAAUGAUGAAGGUCUUAGGAUUGUAAAAUUCUUUUACCAGGGACGAUAAUGACGGUACCUGGAGAAAAAGCCCCGGCUAACUUCGUGCCAGCCGCCGCGGUAAGAC